rnacentral:rRNA from 1 species
AACGCCAGGGAAUUACGAGCAAUGCUUAAAACCCAAAGGAUUUGACGGUAUCCCAUCCACCUAGAGGAGCCUGUUCUAUAAUCGAUAACCCCCGCUAUACCCAACCACUCCUAGCUUAUCAGCCUGUAUACCUCCGUCGAAAGCCUACCAUGUGAAUGUUCUUAGUAAGCUUAAUGUCCCCGUCAAAACGUCAGGUCAAGGUGCAGCUCAUGGAAUGGAAAGCAAUGGGCUACAAUUUCUAACUUAGAACAUACGAAAAACCAGGUGAAACCCUGGUCAUGAAGGCGGAUUUAGCAGUAAAAAGAAAAUAGAGUGUUCUUUUUAACCCGGCCCUGGGAUGUGUACACACCGCCCGUCACCCUCUUCAACUGUAAUUAACACUGUUUUAUAACUCUCCCCCCCCACAUUCUAGAAGAGGCAAGUCGUAACAUGGUAAGUGUACUGGAAAGUGCACUUGGCUAACAA